AGCUUUGUACAGUGGCAGUAUCACAGCCAAUAAGGUUUAUCUGAGGCACGAUUAUUGGCAAUUGAAAACUUUUCCCAAUAGCCCGCCAGGAUGACUUGAAAUAUCGGCAUUGGCAAUUUUUGACAGUCUCUACAGAGA